rnacentral:rRNA from 1 species
AUUUGCUGCACCUGCCUGAACAUGGCUGAUUUUGGAAGCUAAGCAGGGCCAGGCUUGAUUAGUACUUGGAUGGGUGACUAAAUUCCAACAUUAUAGCUAGACGCAGGAAAUG